CGCCAGAGUCUCGGCACAGCCGAACACUUAACGCCGAGCCGGAGCUGCUGCGCCAGUCGCCGAGCAGGUCCCCGUCCGGUUCCGUCGUGUCCUGCAGCCUCGCCGACGCGCCGGCCAGCCAGCGGCCCUCCUUCAGCCCUCGCUCCUCCGCCCGUUUGUGGUGAGCCGGACCUAGGAGGCCCGAGGACGCCCCCGACCCCGUGUGUCCGACACCAGUGCCAGUACUGCCAUGGGCCUCACCAUCUCCUCUCUGUUCUCCCGCCUCUUCGGCAAGAAGCAGAUGCGCAUUUUGAUGGUUGGAUUGGAUGCUGCUGGCAAGAUGACAAUUCUGUAUAAACUGAAAUUAGGGGAGAUAGUUACAACCAUUCCUACCAUUGGUUUUAAUGUGGAAACAGUAGAGUAUAAAAACAUUUGCUUCACAGUAUGGGAUGUUGGUGGUCAAGAUAAAAUUAGGCCUCUCUGGAGGCAUUAUUUCCAGAAUACCCAGGGUCUUAUUUUUGUGGUGGAUAGUAAUGACCAUGAAAGAAUUCAGGAAGGAGCAGAUGUGCUGCAGAAAAUGCUUCUGGAGGAUGAUCUGCAAGAUGCAGUGCUGCUACUUUUUGCCAACAAACAGGAUUUGCCAAAUGCCAUGGCCAUCAGUGAAAUGGCAGAUAAGUUAGGACUUCAGUCGCUUCGUAACAGAACAUGGUAUGUCCAAGCCACUUGUGCUACACAAGGAACUGGUCUGUAUGAGGGACUCGAUUGGCUGUCAAAUGAACUUUCAAAACGUUAAACGAAACUGGAUAUCUAACCAAGGACAUGUUUGAUAGAAUUGGUCUAUAGGCUUAUUACAACAAAAUUAGUUUGCAUCUUGGUUAUUAAAUGAUAUCUGGGACUAAGGUUUGGGCAGACUAUUACAGCGUUUAAAACUUAUUUUGUUGCCAAUUAUUGUUUACCAAGCAUGUUGCUAUUUAGCAAUAUGCUUGGUUUUAAAAGAAU